ACUCUUACGAGGCCUCGUAAUCGGAAUGAGUACACUUUAAAUAUUUUAACGAGGAACAAUUGGAGGGGCAAGUCUGGUGCCAGCAGCCGCGGUAAUUCCAGCUCCAAUAGCGUAUACUAAAAUUGUUGCGGUUAAAAAGCUCGUAGUUGCAUUUGUGCGCCGCGCUGUCGGUGCACCGCAUCCGCGGUGAUACUGACACGUCUGCGGAGCAUAUCGUCGGUGAGCCGGCGGUAAUACGCCGGUUCAAUAUCAAAAUCCUAUCGCGGUGCUCUUCGGUGAGUGUCGAGGUGGGCCGACAAUUUUACUUUGAACAAAUUAGAGUGCUCAAAGCGGGCUCAAAAUGCUGCUUGAAUAUUUCGUGCAUGGAAUAAUAGAAUAUGAUCUCGGUUCUAUUUUGUUGGUUUUCAGAACUCCGAGGUAAUGAUUAAUAGGGAUAACUGGGGGCAUUCGUAUUGCGACGUUAGAGGUGAAAUUCUUGGAUCGUCGCAAGACGAACAUCAGCGAAAGCAUUUGCCAAAGGUGUUUUCAUCAAUCAAGAACGAAAGUUAGAGGUUCGAAGGCGAUUAGAUACCGCCCUAGUUCUAACCGUAAAUAUGUCAUCUAGCGAUCCGCCGACGUUACUACAAUGGCUCGGCGGGCAGCUUCCGGGAAACCAAAGAUUUUGGGACUCCGGGGGAGUAUGGUUGCAAAGCUGAAACUUAAAGGAAUUGACGGAAGGGCACCACCAGGAGUGGAGCCUGCGGCUUAAUUUGACUCAACACGGGAAAUCUCACCAGGCCCGGACACCGGAAGGAUUGACAGAUUAACAGCUCUUUCUUGAUUCGGUGGGUGGUGGUGCAUGGCCGUUCUUAGUUGGUGGAGCGAUUGUCUGGUUAAUUCCGGUAACGAACGAGACUCUAGCCUGCUAAAUAGGCGUCGUCAUUUAGGGUGCGUGGCUACGCGUCACGCAACUCACUGGCGACGUAUUAAAAUUCUUCUUAGAGGGACCGGCGGCUUCGAGCCGCACGAGAUUGAGCAAUAACAGGUCUGUGAUGCCCUUAGAUGUCCUGGGCCGCACGCGCGCUACACUGAAGGAAUCAGCAUGUUCUCCCUGGCCUAGAGGCCCGGGCAACCCGCUGAAACUCCUUCGUGCUGGGGAUUGGGGUUUGCAAUUAUCCCCCAUAAACGAGGAAUUCCUAGUAAGCGCGAGUCAUAAGCUCGCGUUGAUUACGUCCCUGCCCUUUGUACACACCGCCCGUCGCUACUACCGAUUGAAUGAUUUAGUGAGGUCUUCGGACCGACACGCGGUGGCUUCACGGCCGUCGGCGUUGCUGGGAAGUUGACCAAACUUGAUCAUUUAGAGGAAGUAAAAGUCGUAACAAGGUUUCCGUAGGGGAACCUGCGGAAG
rnacentral:rRNA from 1 species